rnacentral:lncRNA from 1 species
GGGAAGAGGGGAGGUGGCAGCCCAUUUUCUUGAUUUAAAUGGACAAUCAAGAGAAGAAAGGAGAAAGGAGGAGAGUGACUUUACAAAAAAAACCCCUAUACCCCAAAUCCAUAAAAAUACAAGUCCAAAAUAAAAAAGAAAAGAAAGUUAUUACAGCACGUUACAAAACACAAGCUAAAACUAAGUACAACAGAUUCUGCCGUCAUUCACUUUGUCGUCACUCGCAAAGGGGCCACCACCUGAAACACGACAAAAAAGCUUCGAUUCAAAGGAAAUCAUUCAAACGUUCCUUCACAUAACAUUCACACAUACAUAUUGUUGUACUUAUACUCCCUUAAAACUACCCUCGAUUCCAAUGUUCAUUGCGACUGAUCAAGUAAAUGAUUCAUAAAGCUAACAAACCCUUAAAAUAAGCUUUAAAAAUCACUUAAAAGUUGCUGGAAAUCAUGAUAAACAGAAAAACCUAUAAUUAUAUUUCACCAGGGAUCUGAAAAAUCAUGAAACUCGCAGUAUAAUCGAGUUAAAGGACGAUUUUUUCGACUAAACAAAUUGCUGAAAUUUUAACAUUAGCAAAAAGUAAGUUUUUUUUGAAAAAUAAAACUUAAUUAAAACAUCUAGAAUACUAUAAUCCCAAUAAUCAAAUUAAAUGAUUCCUUAGACAACUAAUCAAGAAACAAACCUAAAAAAGAGGCUGGAUCCUUUUUCAUCAUGCUGCUUUUUCUCUAUUUCUGUUUCUCCACCACAACCAUCGAUUACCGCCCCUAACCAAGAAAUAAAAAAAACAGAGCAACUUAGAUCGACGAAGUAAAAAGGGGGGGGGUUUCAACCCUAGGUUUACAGAUCGGGUCUUGCAUGUCACUUCCUUCGGCGAUGACAUGCUAGCACGAAUCUGAGUUAAACAAAAGAAAAAUAACAAGAAAGGGAAUUUCAGAAGUUUUACCUUUCUUCCUAGUUGUUGAUGACGGAGGACGGAGAGGACGAGGAGAAGGAGAGAAGGAGAAAAAAAAGGACUGGAAGAGCCGCGGCGGCGGCGGAAGCGGCGGUAGCCGAGAGGGAGAAGGAGAGAAGAGAGGACAAAAGUUAGAGAGAAGGGAGAGGUUUUAGAGAGGAGUCAGAGAGAAUUGAGAGGAGAGGAGGAGAGGAGAGAGAGUGGGA